CAACCGCUUGUAAACAUGCCUAUAAAAGUCCUGUCUGUAUUGCACCAGAAGGCAGCGCUCUCCCAACCCCCAGGCGCUCACGUCAACGCGCACUUGGAGAUGACCGGCUAUCUUGGGGCAAUGGCGUUCUGAGUGUUACAACAGGUGUCCAACGCCCAGGCGUCUUCAGUCCUUCCACUGACCCCUCCUCUUUGAGGCAAUGCUGAAAACACUGGAAUUUGGAGCCAAGUGAAACAAUGAUUGAGACGGCGGCAAAGAAUGAGUUUGUGCAGGUUGAGCAGUUGCAGCAUCCAGUGAUGCUCCCCGGACACGUCCCAGCGUUCGGUUCUACAGCUCCAAUGGCUUUGAACCCAAACAGGGUGUGGCAAUUCCAUUACCUGCUUGUCUUCUGCUGUCUGCUUACUGGAGCACGGUGGAGGAGCAGGUCUUUGAAUGGACAGGUUGGGGCUGUAGGCAAGUUGACAUUCAGAGGCACAAUAUAAAUUGCUGUCUUAUCAUUGAAAUUACAACAGCGUGGUUCAAUUUCACAGCAGAGAGAGAGGGUGCAGACGAUGGAGGUCAAACAAUGGACACAGAAUGAAUCAUUUAUGUACUUGUAUGCUCAAAUUUUUGCAGAGCUGUGUAAUUUAUUGUUGAGGAAUAAAAUGUAAUGCAUAGACACGUCCAUUCGAAUUCUAUUAAAAAUUAUUGAAAAACGCUGCAAUGAACAUUAGAAUUCUUUGUUAUCAGUCAAUUUAGUAUAUACACACAUGUACUGUGCAUAAUGUCUACUAGGACCAACUUAAGAGGGAGUUUAAUACUGUUUCAUGUAAUGGAAUUUUGUAUUUGUUGUUGUUAAUAAUAAUGACACCAAGAUUGGCCCGUUUUAAUAAAGAAAAAUGUCUGCAUUAUACUCUUUUCCUGUUUCUCACCCAAUAUAAAUGUACAAUAUUUUUCCCCUGCGUAAGACGAUAGUUUGCAGAGCUCGGUUGUUUUGUAGAUGGUGUCCUACUGUUGUAGCAACCCCAGUGAGUCUAUUUGAAAAAAUAAAAAUAAAACCUUGAACAAACA